rnacentral:sRNA from 1 species
GAGCCUUGUAGGAUCCGGAUGGUUGGCUAACUCCCAGUCUGUGCUGGAAAGGACUGGAAGGGUAUUUAGGUGAAUGGAAUGACGUAUGUAAAGGUCUUUGUUGAGCACCAGGAAGGAGAGCAAGAUGGAGACACCAUGGCUGGAGCUGGGACUCUAUUUGGAUCUCUCAAGGGAGAAGGUAGCCUCUAUUCGGAGGGCCACAGGGAACGUGGCUAGCUGCACUCGCUCAGUGGAAAGGAAUGCACAGCCCCAGAGCCCCAGAGCCCCAGAGCCCCGGAGAAGAAGAUCAGCUACGCCAGGCCUUGAACAUCUCUGGAGCAGCAAUACUUGGGGCCCAGGGCCCCUUGCUCUGUGAGCCUAGCCAGUAAUGAAGACCAUGUGAGGGCUGUGGGCUCCCCCCUCCUUCCUGGCUUAGCAGAGAGGCUCUCAGGAAGUGUGGAGGGAAGGGGGGGUCCUGCCUGGCUGUCCAGAUGGAAGAAUUGUGCUGAGGAGAUGAGGAGCUAGCAGGGGUCACGGAGGCCCACUCCUCCCUCAAGCUGUCUACGUGUGCAGGACUCUGAAUGGUACCUGUCCCAUCAACCCGUUCCCUCAAACUAGGUGUCUGAUCCUAUUUCAGAAAGAUCACAAGCACCAGGGUUCAA